AGAUGAAGAACCGGGACACCUGGCGUGAAACCAAGGUGGAGACUCGGGCACCGAGGAAAACGACAGGGAGACCCAUCCACAAAAUCUCUUACAAGGGGAGAAUUUGCUCCUAGGAAGAAGAUGGAAAGGAUAAAGGGGUCUGCAUUGGCAGAAGAAAUGGAAGAAGAAAAGAAAGCACGUCAGCUGAUCUGGACUUGCUUUGAAAAGAGAUUUUCUGGCACCACACUUAAUAAUUUCCUCGUCGAUCUGAUUGGCCAGCUGUGUUACUUGGCCCCUCUUAUCUGCAUAGUGGCUGCACUGUGUGUUGGGAGGGCAACCAGGAGUCUUUAUCACUGCAGGACCGUUGCCAAGAUUAAGAAGAAGGUAUAAACAGAUUUCAAGGCGAUGUCAAUAAACCAGGUUUCAAGAAACUACUAAAACAUUUUUUGUGAGUUGCUUUCAUUUUAUCUGAAUUUUAAUAUGUAUUUCAACACUUGGCUAUACCAGAGUAUGUAGGUUUGUCUGUCAUUUCAUAGCUGUCAAAGGGAAAUUCUUAUUUUAAACCUCUACAUCAUCAUUAAACACUUCUAAUAAUAAAAGGCCUAAAUUUUAAGCCCUCGGGGACAUCAAAGUAUCUCAUUUACUAUGUUGAUCCAGCUCUGCCGGCAUGUUGCAAAACAGAUACGGAAUAGGCGAAAGAGGGUCAGAACAAAACCGAACACUGUUAUCUCCUUGUUGACAAUACCUAAGAUGAUAAAAUAUUUUGUUUAAAACUGGUGGGCUGUCUUAGUAAGUGAACCAAGAAAGGGUGGGGGAGCUCCUAAAUGUAUCUAUUUUAGGCUACAUCUUAUAAUUGACCCUUUUUCCUUUUUAAGUAAAUGUAUGCCUCCUCCUACCUAGCUCAGAGCCUUGUUACAACAUCCUUAGGAAAGAAAGCAGUCAUUUAAAAAUGGAGUUGAAAGUCCACAUUUCAGCCUUGUAAUGUGGUUGCAUCGUGUGGUGACCUUGGAGACUUAGCUCCAGUUGUGCAAAGUCUCAUAAUGCGGAGGAGCACAGCUUAGAAAAUAACAAAACCCCAACAUUCUUUUUUACUCUACUCAAUAUUUUUACUUGUUACAGUCUCCUUGAGGAAGUGUUGGCUCUGAUAAAAGGGCAACAGGCAUUUGCCUCAUGGUCUGAAGUUUGAUA